AUGACGUGGAGCCGCGCGGCCGUGUCUGCUGGGGCAGGAACUGGGCUGAGCUGGGCUGAGCUGGACCAGGCUGAGCUGGACUGGGCUGAGCUGAGCUGGGCUGAGCUAGACAGGGCUGAGCUGGCAUCCCCAACCAGCCCCAAGGUCUUCCCGCUGAGCCUCGACAGCACCCAGCCAGAUGGGAACGUGGUCGUCGCCUGCCUGGUCCAGGGCUUCUUCCCCCAGGAGCCGCUCAAUGUGACCUGGAGCGAAAAUGGACAGAAUGUGACCGCCAGAAACUUCCCGCCCAGCCAGGAUCCCACCGGGGGCCUGUACACCACGAGCAGCCAACUGACCCUGCCGGCCACACAGUGCCAGGACGGCAAGUCCGUGACAUGCCACGUGAAGCACUACACGAAUCUCAGCCAGGAUGUGACUGUGCCCUGCAAAGUUCCCCCAACUACCCCAUGCUGCCAGCCCCAACUGUCGCUGCACAGACCGGCCCUCGAGGACCUGCUCUUAGGUUCAGAAGCGAACCUCACGUGCACACUGACUGGCCUGAGAGAUGCCUCGGGUGUCACCUUCACCUGGACGCCCACAAGUGGGAAGAACGCUGUUCAAGGACCACCUGAGCGUGACCUCUGUGGCUGCUACAGCGUGUCCAGUGUCCUGCCCGGCUGUGCCGACCCAUGGAAACGUGGGGAGACCUUCACCUGCACUGCUGCCCUCCCCAAGUCCGAGACCCGGCUAACCGCCAACAUCACAAAAUCCGGAAACACGUUCCGGCCCGAGGUCCACCUGCUGCCGCCGCCGUCGGAGGAGCUGGCCCUGAACGAGCUGGUGACGCUGACGUGCCUGGCACGCGGCUUCAGCCCCAAGGACGUGCUGGUUCGCUGGCUGCAGGGGUCACAGGAGCUGCCCCGCGAGAAGUACCUGACUUGGGCAUCCCGGCAGGAGCCCAGCCAGGGCACCACCACCUACGCUGUGACCAGCAUACUGCGCGUGGCAGCCGAGGACUGGAAGAAGGGGGUCACCUUCUCCUGCGUGGUGGGCCACGAGGCCCUGCCGCUGGCCCUCACACAGAAGACCAUUGACUACCUGACGGAUUGGCAGAUGCUGCCUCCCUAUGUGGUGCUGGACUUGCCGCAGGAGACCCUGGAGGAGGAGACCCCCGGCGCCAACCUGUGGCCCACCACCAUCACCUUCCUCACCCUCUUCCUGCUGAGCCUGUUCUAUAGCACAGCACUGACCGUGACCAGCGUCCGGGGCCCGUCUGGCAAGAGGGAGGGCCCCCAGUACUGAGCGGGAGCCGGCAAGGCACAGGGAGGAAGUGUGGAGGAACCUCUUGGAGAAGCCAGCUGUGCUUGCCAGAACUCAGCCCUUUCAGAAGUCACCGACCCGCCCUGCCCCACAUGGCUUCCAGGUGCAAUAAAGUGGUCCCAAGGAAAAUGUUCACAGACUCCGGAUGAGGGGACGGCGGUCAGGGAAAGGGUGGCGGCUUUAGACUGGAGAACGCCUGCUUCAAAGUCCCCCUGGGUGUCACGGUGGUCAUGGUGGGCAUGGACAGAGGGUACCCCUGGUCCCAAAAUCAAGAAAUGACCUGAUCUUGCAUGAGGCUGAGGCCCAAGGAUGAAUGCUGGAUUCACCAGAGACCAUGGCAAAGAAGACUGCUCCCAAGAACUAUGUGGGAUCCCUGUUCCUCAUAACCUAGAUAGCCCUGGUCCUCCUCACUGGGUCCUCAUCCUGAUCACAGACCCCUGGUCCUGACCAGUGGGCCCUUUUACCGAUCACUGAGCUCUGGUCCUACUACUUGGGCCCUGUUCCUGAUCACUUAA